rnacentral:SRP_RNA from 1 species
UGAAAGGUUGAAUAGACGGUUUGCUCUGCACACCAGGUCAGGUCCGAAAGGAAGCAGCCAGCGUAGUUUAUAAUUGGGUUGUUCAACCUUUCGCUU